CACUAGUCAUCUAGUUUAUUGAUUGGUCUGAUCAACUAGCUAGUCACUAGUCAUCUAGUUUAUUGAUUGGUCUGAUCAACUAGCUAGUCACUAGUCAUCUAGUUUAUUGAUUGGUCUGAUCAACUAGCUAGUCACUAGUCGUCUAGUUUAUUGAUUGGUCUGAUCAACUAGCUAGUCACUAGUCGUCUAGUUUAUUGAUUGGUCUGAUCAACUAGCUAGUCACUAGUCAUCUAGUUUAUUGAUUGGUCUGAUCAACUAGCUAGUCACUAGUAGUCUAGUUUAUUGUCUUCCUCUGGAUGGUGAGGUAGUAAUCUAUCUUAACUCUAACCAGCCAGUCACAUGGAGAGAGACUUGUCUUCUACUCUGAGAAACAGCGAGGCAGUUUGUUAAGGAAUGGGGGGGGGGUAGAAUCACUUAGCAACAAGAGAGGGGGAGGGGCUCUUCAGAAUCAACACCCCGACAUUCCGCGGUGAUGUCACAAUGGAUCUGAGUGUAGCGCGCGUUGAUGACGUCAUAGUGUAAGUUCCACUGUGUUGUUGUGUAGUCAGGUCAUGGGGGUGUAUUCAUUAUUUCUAUUCUGUUGCAAAACGUUUUUUUUUAGUUUGUUGCAACAACAAAAACGAACAAAAAAAUGUUUCGCAUCAGAAACCAUUUUUUUUACUCCAGAGUUUCUAUUGGACAAAUGUCGGUAGGUUCCUCCCCCGUUUCGUUCUGUUUGCUUUCGUUUGGUUUGUAAAAUGAUAAACAGUUUCCGUUGCAAGACGUAAUGAAUACACCCCAGGGUUUUAAUUAUUUAUUUUUUUAUCUGUGUUUUGAAGCCGAUACGCCAUUUUGAAAAAGUUAUUUUAUAUUAACCCCCCCCCCACUCUCUCUCUCUGUUAGGCAGGGGGGGGUCUGAGGUAGGUAGGGGAGGUCUGAGACAGGCAGGGGAGGUCUGAGGUAG
ensembl:lncRNA